GGAAGGUCCAAGUCCAGCCUAUUGAUAGAGGAGGCUGGGGUUAGGGAUGAUUGAUCAUCACAUGGAGGUGGGGGAGGGAGAGAAAGUUCAGACUCAGACAAUGUCCGUGUUGGGCUGGAGAGCAGCGGCGCCAGGCUGACUCUGGUAUCCCUGAAAGCUGGGGAUGUGCGGAGGCCAGACGAGGCAGACAUGCAUCACUGCAGUGCUGUCUACCCCACGUGUAACCCACACCUGCCCUAAAGAACCACGUCUGCCGCAUUCCUUCCGCCCCCACUCUACACGGAAGCCUGAAACGCAAGGAGAUCCUUCAGAAACACAACACCCUCCGAGGAUUCUUGAUCAUGGAGACGGCCUGAAUUCAUUUCAUACAGGUCUCUCUUCGUGGCUUGAGUAAAUGUCCAAUCAACAAGUCCGACUACUCUUAAAGGGCAGAGGGGUAAGUCAUGCAGAGCGGUGGAGAGGAGGCAGCCUCAGAGCCAGUCCACCGUUCCCCACCAGCAGAGCUCAUCAGCUGGACCCAGCCCCUCACUGGAGAUAAGAAGUGACUUCCAUCAGACACUUAGAGCCUUUACAUAUCACUGAACACAUGCCAAGUGUGCCAGGACAAAGAAAGACCCAGUCACAGUGAACAGGAGGAAUAAUGAACUGUUUCAGAGGCAGUAUCUUUCCAUGGGAGAAGUGCCAAGAUGUCGUCCAUGCUGCCCGCCGGUAUAUGCUACAAUGAGUUAGUUUAUCUCGACCCGACAGCUUUAGUAUACAGUAGAUCAGAACCUCAGGUACAUACUGUAGGUAACGGGUGAUUAUGUAAGUGUACGUUUAGAUUAAGCUACCAGUGAGGACAGAUAAGUACACGAUGCAUAAUAUUUUACAUAUGAAAACUAUCGAAACGGGUCUCAAGGGAAACUGUAGCGUGAGCCUAUUCAUUGUCUUUUACAUACAGGAAUGUCUUUACGUAUUUUCCUGUACAUUUUCCUUUCUGUUGACUAUUUACUGCAAAGAAGACUAUGUAAAUCUUCAAAAGAGAUGUACAUCUUUCUAGAGGAGCUCGGGGGAAAAUGUGCGAGGGACAUGUUCUAUGUGACAAAAAAAGUCCUCCUGCCAGGGAGACGAGAAAAGUCCAGGACUGCUCUGUGCAAAGCAUUUUGGGAUGAUUAACAGACCUACACAUCCUGUACCUUUUCAAGAGAGACGAGGGAAACAUGUCUUCAAGCUAUAUUUCUAUAAACAGACACUUGGUUAAAGCACAACGUGUUUGGUUCUGCUGACAGGGUUAAGAGAGUUCAGACAGUGUUAAGACAAAUUCAAAUCACCAAAGAGCUUGGUCUCAUGUAUUUUUGGCGCGAUCUGCUCCUUUUGUAAUGUAUUUUUGUAUGUAUUACAAGUCAUCCUGAUAGUCAUCAAAUAGAGUGUCUAAAUCUGUACACGACUUAACUGAACACAGUGGGAUUUUUUUUGACUAAAAUCUUUUUUUACUUGAUUCGCUAGCUUUUCCUACUCUGUCUGAAAGAAGGAGUGGGCAGUAACUCAGGUAGUAUACAGGUAACUGCAAAAGCUAGUUAUAUUUUAUGAAUGUCUUUUUAUUAUCAUAAAUUGUACAGUUGGCUUACAGUUAGAUGCAGACCAAAUUAGAAAUGCAUGAAAAUGUGCAUGAAGCAGCAUUUUCCUCUGUAAUGAUCAUGUUUUAGGCUGCGAAACAUCAUCAUAUUCUAGCUAAUAAAAACCCAUUUGUUUGUU